AUAAGAUUAGAAGAAUUAGGAGGUGUGACCUUGUUAGAGAAAGUAUCAGACUAGGAGUUCUCUCUCUCUCUCUCUCUCUCUCUCUCUCUCUCUCUCUCUCUCUCUCUCUCUGUCAGCUACUUAUCCUAUACCAUGUCUGCCUUUGUGCAGAUUAACCUAAGCAAAUCCUCAAUUAAAUGCAUUUUGUUUAUCAGAUGCCUUAGUAAUGGUGUCUCUUCAUAGCAAUGCAACAGUGACUAAAACAACCAGCAUUGGAGUGGAGGAAACUUAUGAAAACGUCCUAAAAUGAUCUGUGAGAAAAAGUCUGACAGAUUAGCCUGUAAAGUUAUACCAUGGUCAAAGCCCAGCUUUUCAAACCCUAUGUAUAACAAACACAUUGUUCUACGAAUCCUCCAUCUGUAUUCUUUUUGGAUCCAAGAAGCAUUCUUUGUAUUUACCAUAGAACCAGCUUCUCACAAAUGUAAAAAUGGACAAAUAUGUUUUCUAAACUCUACAGAUAGAUUUUAUGUAGAGCUCCAGAGACAAAUUUAUAACAUAAAUCUUUAGAAUUCUAAUUUUUUUAAAAAAAGAACUUGAAACAUUAAAGUAUGACUGAUUGCUGGGCUUCUUUGGUCAAUAACCUUUAUUUACUUUCUAUUAUGCAACAUUUCUUUCUCCUAACUCACCCCAUUUUAAAUCUAUCCCUAUCUUUCUACCACCAUCUUUCUACCACCGAUCAAGCAUCAAAAUUAGCUAUCUUGGUGAGAGCUCCUUGGGCCUUUUCAUCACUUAGGAGAGAUGGGUACCGGAAACUUUGUAUGGUCUACUCCAUAACAACAUUGUGGUCAAGCUUUCAAGAUACAUUCAUUGUCCAUCUUUACUUUGUCUACUUUUGGUUUGGUUGUUUGCAUAGAAGAAACAAUAGAAUAGAAUGAUAAAGCAUAGGAGAAAAAUGCUAAAAAGCGAGAAGGGAAUGAUGCUAAACUUGAUCUGACAUUCUUUUCAACACAUAUGUUGCAAUUACUUGGAUUAAGUCUCUUGUAUGAUUAUCCUGUGAUGGUCCUUGCUUGUGUUACUACUCAAUUCCGUACUGUUUUACUAUUUUCAAUGUUAUUACAAACUCAGUUACAGUCAUAGACUGCAUCUUAACCUUGUUUGUGUACUAGCGGUGUAGCAUUUGCAAUAAUAAUCCAUUUAUGUGGCACUUCUCUUUGCUGUGAAAUUCACAUCCUCCAUUUAUUAUCCAUCAGUCUUAUAAAGUGUGCAUUAUCCUGAUUUGUCAAUGAAUAUAUAGAUGCUCAAAGAGAGUAAGUGUCUUAUUCAAGAUUACAGAGUUGAUAAGUAUAAUCCAAACACCAGCUCAAUUACAGCUAUAAACAUGCUAGUUAUCCUGGCUAUAAGAUCCCAAAGAAGGCACCUGAUUAAUAUUGUGUAAGUUAAUGUUUAUGAAAAAUGUUUUGUUUAAAUAUUUCUAAACAUGUUAGGCCCCAAAACCAGUUUAAAAUGAGUGUUAAUUUAAAAAUUUAAAAUCCCGGCUCUAUUGUUAACCUAAAACUGCACAAUUUCUUUUUUUGGUGUGAUGUGAUAUAUGUAAGAUUGUGUUUAUUUCAGUUUUUCUUUUUACUUUUUUUCUUCUUUAAUCUUUUGUUAUAGUCCAGACUUUAUCCCUCUCCUGAUCCACCCCCUGAUGUUCCACAUCCCACACCUCCUCCCCCUGUCUCCAAGAGGAUGUCCCCGUGGGACUGGGUUGGGGAAAUAAAAAAAAAACUAGAUAAUUUCUGAAAGACCUUCUUAUCAUCUAAUGCAGGUCUUAUGUCUUUACCUCCAAUGUGGGGUAGUUAAUGACUCUGGUUGGAGGUGAUUAAAUAUUUGAAAGUCAUAAAAUUUCUAGAUUAAAAUCUGGAUAGUCGUUAUAUGGAUGCUGGUUUUGUCAGUAGACAUUUCUAGUAGAUAUGUUAUGAUAAUUUAAAUGCAAAUCAGCAGGGUUAUACUCCUGGUCUUGAGUUGUUUUUAAUACAUACAGUCUUUAUAGAGUUGUGCGUUUUGAGAGUUAGAUAUGUGAGUCAAAAUGACUGAAGAUCCAAACCAUUGUAAUAUAACAUGAACCAAGACAAAGCAUUUAAUUUGCUCAAUUUUCUCAGAAAAAUCUCUUAUCUAUUUCUCUUACAAAUCUAGUGGUUACAAUUCCUGAUAAAGUUUAUAUCCAUUAGUAAGACUCAUAAAGUAGUAAUGCUGACCUUAUUUAUAAUUUAGCCUUACUUUUUCAAUUAGUUACUUGAGAAUCUCACCUAACGUAUUAUUCACAUAAUACAUUUAACCCCUCCUCAAACUUCUCUCAGCUCAACCUUCCUCUCCUCUCUAUCUUUGUAUCCACUUUCCUUUUUCACCCCUUAAGCAGAGUUUGUGCUGCCUAUGGAGUCUUAGAUAUAUGACCUUCUAUUAGAAGUAUAGACAGCCUACCAGAGGCUACACCUUACAAACCAUCCUCUCCCCAUUCCCCUUCUUUCUCUCAGCAGAUAACAAUUGCCAAUAUCUCUUUAGCUGCAGGGUUCUUCAUGCCCAUCUCCACUUUCCAUGUUGGGACUUUGUCUGGGUUAAGCUUGUGCACAUCUUAUGUACUCUGCCUUAAGAGUUCAUUUGUACACUUUAACUUCCUUUGUCCUAUUGGCUUUUCUUUUCUACAUUUGUUUUAUUUUUCAAUCCCACUGUCUUUGUAAUUAAACAUUAUUUAAGAAUUUUUUCAUUCAAUAUAUUUUGGUCAUAUUCCUUCCCCUCCUCCAACCUAUUCCCUGUACCUUCCCUUCCUUUCCACCCAACUUCUUGUUCUUUUUCUCUCUUAAGCACACGCGCGCGCACGCGCGCGCGCGCACACACACACACACACACACACACACACACACACACACACACAAAGAAUUAUACAAACUCAAUGUAAACCAACAAAAAUCACAUAAACGAAAGCGAAAUCAAACUGUGGUUUCUGUUUUGUGCUGAUCAACUAUUCUUGAGCACAUGGUCUGGUCUGGAGUGUAGUUAACAUAGCCAGUAUCAUUCCAUUGAUGAAAACUGACUUUCUCUCUUCAGAAGCUAUCAAUUACAAAUAGUUUCCUGGUUAGGGGUGAGAUUUUGUGUCCACUUCCUCUUCUCAAUGCUGGGAUUUUUUUGACUCCAACCAAUGUGAGUCUUAUUGUGAUGCCACAGUCUUUGUGAGUUCAUAUGUGUAUUUUCCUGUUGUAGCUUAAAGAAGAUAAUUUCUCAAACUCAUCCAACACCUUUGACUGUUAAAAUCUUUCUGCCUUCUCUUCUGCAUAUACUCCUGAGGGGUAGGGUGUAAUACAGACAUCACAUUUAGAGCUGAGUGCUCAAAAGUCUCUCAAUUUCUUCACUGAAUAGUGGUUUUCAAAAACACAGAGGAAAUAAAUGAGUAAAGCAGUUAUCUGUGUGAUUACUGGGUCAUUACCCAGCUUAUUUCUGUGCCACUGUGGCAUCAAAAUUGACCAAAGGCGAGCAUUUCAAUUGCCUAUAGUGUAUUCUUCACCAACCUGGCAGUUAACAUUUUUGCCUUUAAGCAUUGUAUGACUAUAAACUCAAAGCUAGAAUAAACAAAUGAGAGAGAACGGAGACUCCUAAUCUUCCCUGCUGGCAUACUGAGUUAGUUUGAGAUCAGUCAUCAUUAUUCUUAGAGCCCAUUAAAAAUACAUUCGCUCUUGAGUAUUCAAACUUUUGUUUAUACAGAUGACAUCGGGUCUCAACGCAUUAGUGGCUCUGCAAAUAGGCAAAGGGCACUUUCACUUUUGUGCUGACAGAAUUUGUCAGACAGCAUUAAUCUCCCAAGGAAGAAAAAGCUGAAAAAAAUAGCAAUGGAUUCAAAAAUAAAUUAGAUAGGGUGAAGAAAUCAUUGAAAAUUGAAUGGUUUUCAUGUCAUGAUAAAAGAUGAAUGUUUUCUAUUUCAUUUCUGGGAACAUUUGAGGUUUAAGUGUCUGUGGCUUUUCUCAUACACUGUGGCAUUAAAAUCUCACAUUGAGUAUUCAUGGUAGAAACUUCUAUUAGCCAUGCAUGCCAAAAAGAAAAUUAUAACACAGAGAAGCUAAAUAAAACAUACCAUUGUGCACAUCCAGGAAGUAUCCAACAUGGAUCAGGCAAAGCUGGGUCUUCCAAAAAGUGCUGAUAGUCUACUAUAUCACAGUAGAAUAGAAGAGAAUGCUCAAAGUAAGCGAGACACCAAAUAUGUCGUUAGCCAUGUUAGAAUGUCAGUAAAGGAGUCCACAUUGCUUCUUCAUGUCUCGUUCUUAUAGGUCUUGUGAAUGUUUGGAGUUUUCAGUAAAAUGCAAAAGGAAGGUCUCCGAGCAAUUGUAAUCAAAUGAUGGCACAAAAGGCUUAUUAGUAGACUCAUGCUAAAAUUCUCUGAAGUUUUCUGAAGGUGUAGAAACUAAUAGAAGAGAAUGUGGAGAAGAGCCUUGAACACAUGGGCAAAGGGGAAAUUUUCCUGAACAGAACAUUAAUGGCUUAUGCUCUAACAUCAAGAAUCAGCAAAUGGGACCUCAUAAAAGUGCAAAGCUUCUGUAAGGCAAAGGACACUGCCAAUAGGCUAAAAUGGCAACCAACAGAUUGGGAAAGGAUCUUUACCAAUUCUACAUCUGAUAGGGGUCUAAUAUCCAAUAUAUACAAAGAACUCAAGAAGUUAGACUCCAGAGAAUCAAAUAACCCUAUUAAAAAUGGGGUACAGAGUUAAACAAAGAACUCUCAGGUGAGGAAUAUCGAAUGGCUGAGAAGUACCUAAAGAAAUGUUCAACAUCCUUAGUCAUCAGGGAAAUGCAAAUCAAAACAAACCUGAGAUUCCACCUCACACCAGUCAGAAUGGCUAAGAUCAAAAACUCAGGUGACAACAGAUGCUGGUGAGGAUGUGGAGAAAGAGGACCACUCCUCCAUUGUUGGUGGGAUUGCAAGCUGGAACACCCACUUUGGAAAUCAGUCUGGAGGUUCUUCAGAAAAUUGUACAUAGUGCUACCUAAGGACCCAGCUCUAAUACUCCUGGGCAUAUACCAAAAAGAUGCUCCAACAUAUAACAAGGACAUAUGCUCCACUAUGUUCAAAGUAGCCUUAUUUAUAAGCUGGAAAGAACCCAGAUGCCCUUUAACAGAGGUAUGGAUAUAGAAAAUGUGAUACAUUUACACAAUGGAGUACUACUCAGCUAUUAAAAACAAUGAUUUCAUGAAAUCCUUGGGCGAAUGGAUGGAGCUAGAAAAUAUCAUCUUAAGUGAGGUUACCCAAUCAGAGAAGAACACACAUAUACACUCAGUGCUUGGAAUACCCAAGAUGCAAUUCACAGACCACAUGAAGCUCAAGAAGAAGAAAAACCAAAGUGUAUAUGCUUCAGUACUUCCUAGAAAGGGGAACACAAUACUCACUGGAGGAAAUACAGGGGCAAAGUGUAGAGCAGAGACUGAAGGAGAGGCCAUUCAGAGACUGCCACACAGAGGGAUCCAUCCUACAUAUAGUCACCAAACCCAGAUUGGAAUGUCAAGAAAUGCUUGCUGACAGGAGCCUGAUAUAGCUGUCUCUUGAGAGGUUCUGCCAGAGCCUGACAAAUACAGAAGUGGAUGCUUGCAGCCAACCAUUGGACUGAGAACAGUGUCCGCAAUGGAGGAGUUAGAGAAAGGACUGUGGUAGCUGAGGGGGUUUGCAACUCCAUAGGAAGAGCAAUAAUAUCAACCAAUCAGAGCUCUCAGAGCUCCCAAGAACUAAAUCACCAACCAAAGAGUACACAUGGAGAGACUCAUGGGUCCAGUCUCAUAUGUAGCAGAGAAUGGCAAUAUAGGGCAUCAUCGGGAGGAGAGGCCCUUGGUCUUGUAAUUCAGCUAACCAAAUGUCUACUGUAAAAAUGAGAAGACCUGAGUUCUGUUCUCAGAAAUUGUGUUGGGCACCCCACAAUGGCCUGCAGCUCCAGCUCUGAGGGAAUCCCAGAUGCCCUGCUGUGGCCUGAAGAGAUCCAGCUAGCAACUGCCGUGUACUCCUAAUCCAUUGUUGUACAUCACUAUCCUCUGAGUCAAACAAUUGGCACCUUGGCCAUUCAGCUGUGUCUGCUUGCAAAGGAUCUUCAUAGCUGGGAUUACUGACUGUUUACAUUCCCUCACACAGGAGUGAGGAGGGUCACAGGUCCCCCACUUAAUCAUCCAACUGUUAUAUGCAAUUCUGCCUUAACUGCACGUAGCUUUUUGAAUAGUCUCAGUAAAGACUAGGGAAGGAGGGGCUUCAUUUGUUAGGAUAGGAGAAUGUCAUUAUCCUGGCUGCGUAACCACUUUGCAGGGAUAGCAACUGUACUCCAGUAAGUUAUUCCUAACCUAUGCUCUGUAAUGUAGCCAAAUAAACUCGCUGUUUUCCAAAGUGAUCCUUGGUGGAAUCAUAAUUUGGUUUGUCUUUGGUCUUAGAAAGAGGGGUAGACAUCCUGUCCAUACAGUUUCAUCCCCAAAGGAGUCUUUAGCAACACAUGCAUACAUAUAACAGCAAACAAAGAAAUCUAAAAUGACAGAAGCAUUUAAGCUUCCUUGAAUAAAUAGUUUAUAUAGAGGAGGAAAAGAGGCUCAGGGUAUGUUGGGAGUCUCUUCAGUAUUAAAAUGUCUUGUAGAGGUAUAAAGAAUGUCUAUCCCAGAUGGAGAAGACAUCAGCCCACCAA